rnacentral:rRNA from 1 species
UACGUAGGGGGCUAGCGUUGUCCGGAAUCAUUGGGCGUAAAGCGCAUGUAGGCGGCGAUUCAAGUCGGGGGUGAAAUCCCAGGCUCAACCCUGGAACUGGCCUUCGAUACUGUAUUGCUAGAGUAUGGAAGAGGUAGGUGGAACUGCGAGUGUAGAGGUGAAAUUCGUAGAUAUUCGCAAGAACACCAGUGGCGAAGGCGGCCUACUGGUCCAUCACUGACGCUGAGAUGCGAAAGCGUGGGGAGCAAACAGG